AGGCAAUCCCCCCCUUCUCCUUUUUGCUGCAGCUUUUUUAACUGAGUAGUGCUAGAGUAGUAAAGGCAGCAGCAAGAUGGAAGUGCCCUUUUUCCCAACCCUUUUCUCCUGUAUCAAAGACUUGGUGGUGCAACAAGCCUUGUUCUCAACCUUGGAGGAUUGGCUAGUGAAGCAUCCCAAAAUCCUCCAGUUUUCAUGGGAAAAUGGCCAAACACCAGCUUCUCUUAUCGCUUCCUCACCCUCACUGUCUUGUCUUACAUCUCUUUCACCUUCGUUCUCUCCCAACUAUCUCGCCCUUCACUUUCACGUCCACUCUUCAAAUCAAUCACAGCCGUCGACAACAUCUUCCUCCUUACCCUUUCUUUCACCAUGGCCCUGGGUUGCCUCGCUUCCAACUUCUCCCAGGUGCCUAACUUCAAGAACCUCGUUUGCUUCCCUAGGGGUACAUCCCCAUCGGGCCCUCUCUUUUUCUGGGCAUACAUCUUCUACCUCUCCAAGAUUGUUGAAUUCAUAGACACCCUUUUGAUCAUCCUCAGUGGAUCCAUGAAGAGGCUAUCCUUCAUUCAUGUCUACCAUCACUCCAUGGUGGUCAUCAUGUGUUAUAUUUGCUUAGAAAGUGCUCAGUCCUCCGUACCCAUGGUGCUGGUCACCAACUGCGUGGUGCAUGUCGUAAUGUACACAUAUUACCUGUUGUGCACCCUGGGGAUGCACCCCAAGUGGAAGAAAAUAGUGACGGAUUUUCAACUAGUGCAGUUCCGGUUAAGCUUUUUGAUCAUGGCCGUGGUUGUGUUCUACCACUUCACUGCUUCUGGCUGCUCUGGGAUUCUGAGUUGGUGUUUCAAUGGAGCCUUCAUUGUCUCUCUUCUCUACUUGUUCUCAACUUUCAUGCCAAGAGUUACUCCACCAAUGCCAACGUCUUCAAGGGUAACUAAUAAUUAAUUAAACCGCAUCUUUUUUCUUUUUUUUUUCCAUUUCUUUUCCUUUGUUAUAUAUAGUAAUUGUUUCAGAGUGAUUCAGUUCAAGCUCAUGAAUCUGGUAUAGAAUCUUAAUUGUGAAAGCUGGUAUUGUCUAAUCAAGUAGGAUGGAGUUCAUGUUCCAUUUAUUUUAUUGAUUGAAUGAAGUAGGAUAAAACAUUUGUAUACCUCUUUCCAUGGGUUUUGUGAGUUGAGCCUUAUUGCUUGAUAGCUGAAAUUCGAGGGAGGGUUUUAUUUGGUGAAUGCUUCGGAGUUUCCGAUAUUCUAUGGUCGAGUUUUAUUAUCACUUUAGCUGGUAUUUCAAGUUAACUUUGUGUUUGAUUUAUAAGGAUGAUCUCUUAAGUCUUCGACUUUGCUUGUAUUUUCAUCUUUGGAAGGGCAGAUUUGAGCUGCUAUCCUUUUAUCAAUAAAUUCACUAUAACUUAUUCAAAAA